GAAUGACCCCGCAGGCAUGGGACGGGCGGUCCCCCGCUCUCCGCGCUGAGCUCCGCUCUGCGGAAGGGAGGCAAGGGCACGCCGGCUCCUUUUGGGUGUCCACGCUCCCCACGGGGAUCUUAAGUCUUUGGGCUGUACGGGCGUGGGUGCACCCGCUUGGCAGGUUGAGAAUGCCAGGCGCGGCCCCGAGGUGAUGAAGCAAAGUGCCAACAGACUUUGGGCUGGGCAUAAGGCGUUUGCUUCGUGUACUUCAGAUGCUGGGUGGAGCAAUUGCCUCCCCACCGAGGGCAGAAACUCCACAACUCGGCACUUUUGCAGGUGGCCUUGCGCCUUUCCUAAUGUGCGAAGAGGGAUCAGACAGUGGCAGGAUCAAACUCCAGGAACAGUUAACACACAGGAGACUGACUUGUUAGUGCCUUUGCAAUUCCAGCUUUAAAAAUGAAAUUCUGUUCAAGAUAGCUGUAAAAACACCCAAGGAAUAAUUUUGGACACACACGACUGCAAUGUUCUGGCUCUGAGAGUCGCUGAGUUGGAAUCUGUAUUCAUGCCUUAACUGGCAUCAAACCUUUUCUUCCCUCUCCAGAAGCAUGCUUGCACCUAGAGAAACUGACUCCAUCAGGAUAUUAUGACCUUAUGAAUUGCUAAGUUUUUGAGAAGGCUAACUUCAUUAGUCUCUCCAGGUGAAGAAAAAUAUGUCAAGG